GCUGCUGGCGGUGGGGCUGUUCGCGCUGCCGUUUCCGUUGGUGGUGGCCGGCGCGGCACUGGCCGGCGCCC
rnacentral:tRNA from 1 species